rnacentral:lncRNA from 1 species
GCGAGCUGCGUGUGGCCUGGGCUCCUUCCGAAUGGUGGCGCCUCUGAGCGCCAGUUCGAGGAGGAGUCGGAGGAGGAGCCUGAAUGUUUGGAGGUAGACUUCAAGUCCCGGACCUUAUCCGUGCGCCGCUUCGGUUUGCAGGAGGGCGAUAGCACCGGCCUUACUGCGACGAUGACAAAGUACAACACACCGUCUGGCGCGAAGGAAAUGCUCGAGAACCCUUUGCUGUUGUUAUUUUUCGCGUGUCCUCCGAAACCAAGGGAAAUGCAGCUCUGUGGGUUCUGUUAACUUCAGCAUUUAAUAAGUGAACUCUAAAUGCAUUGCCCCUUAUGGUGGCCGCCGGCCGCCUGAGUUGACUGAGCUCUUGCAACGUAGCUAGUUGAUAACCCUCGAAAUAUAGCGAAUUGAGAUGUGCUAUAUUGUAAAAUACGGGACUUAGUACGAAAAAACUGAUGUAAAAAUUAUCUCAAUACUUUUUAAUACUGAUUACCUGUUGGAAUAUAAUGUUUUGCAUAUAUUGGG